rnacentral:rRNA from 1 species
UACGUAGGGGGCAAGCGUUGUUCGGAAUUACUGGGCGUAAAGGGCGCGUAGGCGGCACGGCAAGUCAGGAGUGAAAGGCCUGGGCUCAACCGAGGAACUGCUUUUGAGACUGCCGAGCUAGAGUGCAGAAGGGGCAACUGGAAUUCCCGGUGUAGCGGUGAAAUGCGUAGAUAUCGGGAGGAACAUCAGUGGCGAAGGCGGCUAUCUGGACUAACACUGACACUGAGGCACGAAAGCGUGGGGAGCAAACAGG